UAGGGAAUAUUGCACAAUGGGGGAAACCCUGAUGCAGCGACGCCGCGUGAAGGAAGAAGUAUCUCGGUAUGUAAACUUCUAUCAGCAGGGAAGACAAUGACGGUACCUGACUAAGAAGCCCCGGCUAACUACGUGCCAGCAGCCGCGGUAAUACGUAGGGGGCAAGCGUUAUCCGGAUUUACUGGGUGUAAAGGGAGCGUAGACGGACUGGCAAGUCUGAUGUGAAAACCCGGGGCUCAACCCCGGGACUGCAUUGGAAACUGUGGAUCUAGAGUGCCGGAGAGGUAAGCGGAAUUCCUAGUGUAGCGGUGAAAUGCGUAGAUAUUAGGAGGAACACCAGUGGCGAAGGCGGCUUACUGGACGGUAACUGACGUUGAGGCUCGAAAGCGUGGGGAGCAAACAGGAUUAGAUACCC
rnacentral:rRNA from 1 species